rnacentral:lncRNA from 10 species
AGCCAGGUUUAUUUGUAGACACCACGUAAGUCAGUAGAACAUAAUCCUUAGUUAUUCUUUCCUAUUAAAAGCAACAAUAGGGCUCUACAAUGAUCCAGUCAAGAGCACUACAUGUAUCAUCUCACUUGGUCCUUACUACAAUGCUCUGAGGUUGGUACUCUUACCCCUAAUUUUAGAGAUGAAGAAAUUAAAGCUCAGGGAAGUAACAUGCCCAGGCUAGUGAGUAGCAGGAUGGAGACUUGAACUCAAGCCUGUCUGGCUGUAGAGCAGAUGGAAGGCCCUGCUACUCUGCCAGUGGCCUCAUUUGCUAUCAGAACAGACAAGCCACAGAAAACAGAAGGGUGUGGAAUGUUCUGGGAAUGGCAAGUAUGGCUGGUUGGAGAGGACCGAACCAUCUGUGAGAGGGAACCCUGUCCUAUAAGAGCUACAGCCCCAGCUGGGGUCAGCAGAUAAUGAAACUCCCAGAAAAAUUACAGGCAGAAGUCACAGAAAAUGGAGAAAACUUCUCAGUAGGGGAACGUCAGCUGCUUUGUGUGGCCCGAGCUCUUCUCCGUAAUUCAAAGAUCAUUCUCCUUGAUGAAG